UAAAUGGGUUAUUGUUGCCCAGGGCUGUCCAUGGUACCGGGAGAUUGGCACCCGAGAGGUCCCAAGCCUGCAUCAAUCGGCAGAAAUGCGUAAGACCGAUGGCAAGGUACAUCUUUGAGAGUCUUGUCGCACAGGGACGCGCCAAUCCGGAGAAUGGGGUGAAACUCCUCUGAAAUCUGGUGUUGCUUCAUUCCAUGGGAAGCCCAAACAAAGUGAAACACGCAUUUAGUUGGCGCAUUUGCGGUAUAUUAACUUUGA
rnacentral:ribozyme from 1 species